rfam:Phytophthora infestans T30-4 supercont1.25 genomic scaffold, whole genome shotgun sequence.
GGGCGCAUAGCGAAGUGGUAGCGCGUCCGCUUUGCAAGCCGAAGGCCCUGGGUUCAAUCCCCGGUGUGUCCA